UACGUAGGGCGCAAGCGUUAUCCGGAAUUAUUGGGCGUAAAGAGCUCGUAGGCGGUCUGUCGCGUCUGCUGUGAAAACUCAGGGCUUAACCCUGAGCUUGCAGUGGGUACGGGCAGACUAGAGUGCGGUAGGGGAGACUGGAAUUCCUGGUGUAGCGGUGAAAUGCGCAGAUAUCAGGAGGAACACCGGUGGCGAAGGCGGGUCUCUGGGCCGUAACUGACGCUGAGGAGCGAAAGCAUGGGGGAGCGAACAGG
rnacentral:rRNA from 1 species